CUCACACGAUGUGUUCAUAAGGGAACACUGAUUAUGUAUGCAAAACAGUUAUCCCAAACUCCUCGCGGUUUUCCGAAAAGGUGAAUUUUUAGUUUCACUGACAUCCCGUCUUGUGGCCCGCAAACCCUGUGUCGACGACACAUUCGUGGUCUGCCCGCGCUCCGGCUUGGUAUGACUUUUGGCUUGGUUUCUUCCGCCAAGCCGGCCAGUUUCUCCUGCCGAGCCGUCUGCUGCGCAGAUUCACAUUGGGGAAGUGAUAAACAGUUCGCUAUUAGGGAGCCAGUAUAUUUCUGGACUUCACUAAACCCACGAGGAACGUGAGUUUUGCUUCCUUCGACUGCAAAGCAUUUGCUAGGCCAGUACAGACUUCCUGGUGUGAUUCGUGUUCUGUGCUGCGUGCCGAGAAUGCGUGAGCGUUUUGCUCCCGUCUGCAAGAACACUUCAGCAUGCAGUUCCAAUGUUUCAAACCACAAUUUUCCGAAAGGUGAAAGAGAAAUCUAUUGACUGCAACAAUCGGUUACAACUCCGACUGGGUGCCACCUUCGAAAGCAGUGAUCUGUUCAUCUGGCUCAUACGAAUGUUACGGAAGCAAUGCGCAACUUGUUUCACAAGAAGCCGAAGAUGUCUCGUCCGGGAUGCCGUGCCAACCUUAUCUGCAGCAGGAGAUUGCAGGGGCAGGACUAGGCAGCAGAUAAAGGCAUUCUGGCACCACCGAAAAGCUUGCACUCCACGUCUCAACUAUCACCGUCUGGGUUUCAAUCUGACGGCUGUCACCAGUGCCAACCAGACGCCCCUUCGAAGUUCAUCUGUUUUUGUUGACGGAACAGUGACACCUGGUAAACCUGUCACGCAGAUGCCCUACCCCUUGGUAUGCAUAGUUCAAGAUUGUACCGAAACAAUCCACCUGGAGCAUUAUUCUUCAAUUGGCAGUGGCAUUACUAUCACAACACACCACAUACUUCAUGUGUAUGGUGCGUGUACAAUGCAUCAAACUUAUUCUCAUGUACAGACCAGCUGGUACGCAACUACAACAUGAAACAACUGACACAGAGACCGUAAGGUCAUGCCUUUUCCUCCACGCCUCGGGUUUCAUGUUAUUAUCCUCACAUGCAGCUCAAUUCGCCUGUGCUGUGCAGCAUGAGCAAAAGCAUAUAUUGUUUGGUCACAUGACACGGAACAUAAAUACAGUGAAACCUUCCUAUGUUGGACACCCGCAGUGCAGCCGAAGCGUCUCCUACGUAUAGAGGUGUCCGAGUUACAGAAUAUGACGGCAACAAAAAAUUGAAGAGAUCACAGCUGUGAGAAAUGUCCCCCUUCUUCAAUUUAAGGUCCUUAGUGGUACCUGGUGGUGGUGCCUGGUAGUGGUACCUCUACCCACUCUUCACUGAUAAUUAUUACUGAUUUUACUAUAUUCAAUUCCGUUCAGAUUCUACUCAAUGGCAUUACAUCCGGAGCUUUUCGAGCAGCAAGGACUUGUCUCUGAAGCGUCAGCCUACUUCUCAUAGCUUUGGUGCAGUGCUCGUUCAAAGGCUCUAGACAAACUGAAGACAAGUGCUCACGUAAAGAAUUACAAUGUAGACUGACAGCACUUGUUUUUGGACUUGAAAAACUAAAGCAACAAAAUGCUGAGACCAGAAUAGGGGAAAAAAGGGGCA